UAGGAUUUGAUUUAAGGUUUGGUUUAGGAUUUAGGAUUUGGAUUAGAGUUUAGGAUUGGAUUAGGGUUUGGAUUAGGAUUUGGUUAGGGUUUGAUUUAGGAUUUGGAUUAGGAUUUGGUUAGGAUUAGAUUUAAGGUUUGAUUUAGGAUUUAGGAUUGGAUUAGGGUUUGGUUUAGGAUUUGAUUUAGGAUUUGGUUUAGGAUUUAGGAUUUGGAAUAGGGUUUAAUUUAAGAUUUGUUUAGGAUUUGACUUAGGAUUUAGGAAUUUUUAGGGUUUAAGAUUUAAUUAAGUUUGGUCUAAAGUUGAAUGAAAUUGAAUAGGGUUUUAACUAGAAUUAAAUUAAGGUUGAAUUGACAUAUAUUUGAGUAAAAUUUGUGAUCAUUCUAAUAUUUCUUUAAGAAUUUUAUUGUUUGUUUGAAAUUUCUUUGAGUUGUUUUGAAUUU
rnacentral:lncRNA from 1 species